GACGAACGCUGGCGGCGUGCCUAAUACAUGCAAGUCGAGCGGGGAUUAUGCUUGAUCGCUUCGGUGAGACGGCAUAUAUCCUAGCGGCGGACGGGUGAGUAACGCGUGGGUAAUCUACCUCGUAGUUCGGGAUAACAGGCCGAAAGGCUUGCUAAUACCGGAUGAGUUCAUGCUUAUGCAUAUAGGCAUGAAGAAAGGGCUAGCCCGCUAUGAGAUGAGCCCGCGUCCCAUUAGCUUGUUGGUGGGGUAAUGGCCUACCAAGGCAACGAUGGGUAGCCGGCCUGAGAGGGUGUACGGCCACACUGGGACUGAGACACGGCCCAGACUCCUACGGGGGGCAGCAGUAGGGAAUUUUCGGCAAUGGGCGAAAGCCUGACCGAGCGACGCCGCGUGAGGGACGAAGGCCUUCGGGUUGUAAACCGUCUGUCUGGGGGAUGAGAACGGACGGUACCCCGGACGGAAGCCCCGGCUAACUACGUGCCAGCAGCCGCGGUAAAGUCACGUCG
rnacentral:rRNA from 1 species